AACUAAAAUAAGUGGUUUGUUCAAGGACCUGGGGUAGGUGGGGAAAAUGUCCUUGACUUGUUUUUAAUAUGACAAAAUUGAAACUUACCUUUCUGACUUUCUUCCGUUUCAUAUUGGUGCCUUAAUUUGUAGAAUUGUAGUUGCUGUUGCCUGAGAAUACAGCAACAUCAACGAAAAAAGGGCCUGUUGCCACCCCUUGAUGCUCCACACCAUUUGCGCAAACAUGAAUAGGGUCCUUAUCGAGAAGUUCUGCUUGAGAUGUUUGAUGAUUGCCUUUGGUGGACUGGCUGUGUUGGAAGAGAGUAUUGAAGAAGAUGAUAACUUAAAGUGAGAAGGAGUAUCAUGAUUCUACAUGUCAUUUGCUACCCACGUGACAAAGCCUACAUUGGUUAUGUUCGGCACAAUAUUUCAGGUUACUUAAGUUAAAUGGUAGAUAUCAAUAGCUACACAUGAAUUAAGGAUCAGCAGAAGAUGCAUUCUAGAGAGAAUAAUACAGAUAGAUGUGUCUACAGAGUUUAGAAAGCACACAUCAGAAGCUAUGAUGAAAGCACCAUGUAGAAGUGUAUUGAGGCACUGUCAUCUAAAGUGGCAAGCUCUUCAGAAUAUACAAAGUAUCUUGGAGAUAAGACAACUAGCCACCAACCGCAAGUCUUAUACAAACAAGGCAACUAGUAACAACAAAAUGAGACUCAAAGAUAUUUACAACGGUUUGCAAAAGGAGAAAUGUUAGAACUAAAGACAUUGGAUGAUGUCUGACCCCUAAAAUAUCUCAUUGUUUUCAUGAUAGCAAAUGUAUUAAAAUCUUGACGGAUUAAUGAAUUUCAUUGAUUUUUUUA